ACACAUGCAAGUCGAGGGGAAACGACAUCGAAAGCUUGCUUUUGAUGGGCGUCGACCGGCGCACGGGUGAGUAACGCGUAUCCAACCUGCCCACCACUUGGGGAUAACCUUGCGAAAGUAAGACUAAUACCCAAUGAUAUCUCUAGAAGACAUCUGAAAGAGAUUAAAGAUUUAUCGGUGAUGGAUGGGGAUGCGUCUGAUUAGCUUGUUGGCGGGGUAACGGCCCACCAAGGCGACGAUCAGUAGGGGUUCUGAGAGGAAGGUCCCCCACAUUGGAACUGAGACACGGUCCAAACUCCUACGGGAGGCAGCAGUGAGGAAUAUUGGUCAAUGGACGAGAGUCUGAACCAGCCAAGUAGCGUGCAGGAUGACGGCCCUAUGGGUUGUAAACUGCUUUUAUAAGGGAAUAAAGUGAGUCUCGUGAGACUUUUUGCAUGUACCUUAUGAAUAAGGACCGGCUAAUUCCGUGCCAGCAGCCGCGGUAAUACGGAAGGUCCGGGCGUUAUCCGGAUUUAUUGGGUUUAAAGGGAGCGUAGGCCGGAGAUUAAGCGUGUUGUGAAAUGUA
rnacentral:rRNA from 1 species